GAUUAGCCUGCGUCCGAUUAGCUAGUUGGUAGGGUAACGGCCUACCAAGGCGACGAUCGGUAGGUGGUCUGAGAGGAUGAUCACCCACAAUGGAACUGAGACACGGUCCAUACUCCUACGGGAGGCAGCAGUGGGGAAUUUUACACAAUGGGGGAAACCCUGAUGUAGCGACACCGCGUGAGCGAAGAAGCCCCUCGGGGUGUAAAGUUCUGUCGGCUGGGACGAAAAAAAUGACGGUACCAGCAAAGGAAGCAUCGGCUAACUACGUGCCAGCAGCCGCGGUAAGACGUAGGAUGCAAGCGUUGUCCGGAUUUAUUGGGCGUAAAGAGUUCGUAGGUGGUUUGUUAAGUCUGAUGUUAAAGACUGAGGCUCAACCUCGGGAGUGCAUUGGAUACUGGCAGACUAGAGUAUGGUAGAGGCAAGCGGAAUUCCCAGUGUAGCGGUGAAAUGCGUAGAUAUUGGGAAGAACACCGGUGGCGUAGGCGGCUUGCUGGGCCAUAACUGACGCUGAGGAACGAAAGCCAGGGGAGCAAAUGGGAUUAGAUACCCCAGUAGUCCUGGCUGUAAACGAUGUCAACUAGCUGUUGG
rnacentral:rRNA from 1 species